UUGUUGUCAAUAGCAGUGCUCUAGUAAUCAAGAAAUUCAGGUAGGGCACUAUAUGUGCCACCAGUAGGACGUUUUAUGAGCCCAAUGACGUCCAGAGUUUGUUUCAUUCAUGGAAAAAAGAACUUGACGGUACAGUGGAGAAUGGCGUGGCUUGUGCACAAGUUCCGUUUUCGCAGGGCUGCGCUCCGCUCGCGUCUCAGUGGUAGUUUCAUUAUCGCAUACUGCUGCGUGUGCCUUGCACGCUCAUGGAAGUUGCUGUAACGAAAAGUUUGGCAAAAUGCUGUGUCCAUGUUAUGUGUAAUGUGCCCGCAGAAACCACAGCGUUGGCUGUCUGGCAGUAAAGGCGGCCAACGUUGGGCAAGAUUGGGCUGUAUUUGUAUGUGCAAUAGCCUAAAACAGCGUAUUCGUUUGCAUAACAUGUAUUUGUUGUAUUUGUAUUUUCGAAGCAAUGUAUUCUACCCCGUUUGGUAUUGUUGCCUGCAUUUUUUCCAUAAUAUGUUGAAUUUCCACCCUGCUAAAAUCCCCUAUGGGGAUUGCAGUAUCUGUAAAUAAAUAAUAAAUAAGGCUAAUGCUACGUCAGGAGGCCUUUUCAGGUGCGCAAUUCGAAGUGCGCUAACGCUGUGCGGACCACUAAAACGUGAUUUUCAUUCAAAAUAAGCAUUUCAUUGGCACGAAACAAGAACCACAGGGUUUCUGGAACGCUAUUUCAACAAUCAACAUUGACCAUUUGCCUUUAGUGUCCCUUUAACUUUGGUUUAGCAUAAGAAAUCUUGGCUCAAAAAUAUCAUGGUUACCAGCUUGAUGUACUUUGUAUGGUAUUUGAUAUGGCUAGCUGUUAUGGAUAUAAAAGCAUUGUAAGUUGAAAAAAGUGCUGGAAAUCGGAAUAUAUAAUUUGCACAUUUCCGUAGUUAGUGGAUGUGAUAAAUGCCAGAUAUGCAAAUGUCUAAAGGUGGCUAGGUGGGAAACGUACCGAAGUAAUAGUCGGGAGCCGACAAAAAAUUCGGAGGGCUCACAUCAGUAAAAGUUUAAUCGGUAAAUCUGUGAGAGAAAGCUUGAGUACAUCAGAACUUGAUCUCAUUGAGGUGCGGUAUGGUACGUGAAUAUUUACGAAAUGUCAAGCUGAUAAAUAAAUGGUUACAAAAAUUGAAAACAAAAAAGUAUGUGUAAGGUGGGGACAAGUGUAAUGUGGUAUAAAUUUCCAGCACAAGUGGUAGUGAAAACAGUAGCAUUGCGAUUACAAAUAGUUGCAGCGAUAACGGUAAUGAAAUGUCUUGGUGGUAGAAUAAGUGGGCAUACUUGUAAUGUGUCUGUGUGUGUGUUUUAUAAAAAAACAAAUUCUGGGAUAGGCAAGGAAUCCAGGCCUAUUUUCAUGUCCACUGCAGGGAGGACUGUCCCAGUUAUCUCCAGUUUACACCAUCUUGUGUGAACAAACUCCUUGCCCCAAGUUCUUAAAUUUUGUUGCUCCAGGUCUUGUGCAUUCUGUGGUUGGCCCAGUCCAAUUUCUUUUACUUUGUGUCAACUAGAACACCUGUUCCGAUCAUUUAAUGUUAUGUCUGCCAUUCUUCGUUGCAUUGCGCUCUUCCUGUUACAAUAUCCUCCAAGCUUCAGCUCCAUAUGCUAGCACUGGCAAUAUGCAGUGACAGUAUGCUUUUUGCUUUGCUUCAGCCAUCAUUAUUUGGAGGAUUUCCUUUUCAUGUGUAUGCCUCGCCCAGUUAGUAAAUACCCUAGGUGUACACUCUCUUGUACAGACUCCAAGGUUUGGUUACCAAUUCUGAACUCGUUUGCCAUGCUCUGAAUGAUUUUUUUUUUAAACCUUAUUGUUACACUUGCUUGAGCUGGCCGAGAUAUUCUCUGUUAAUCAGUGUUCCCACUUCUAAGCACGACGUAACAACGUUGGACAGAUUGUAUCUCCUUGCCCAACUCCUUUUGCUUUUUGUGAAGGAGCAAGGUAGACGUUGGCCUAGGUAUACACUUUUCGAGUACCUCUUGGUGACUCUGUGCUUGCAAGACGUGUAUGUAUGUCAGAGAGUCAAGUAACUUUUUGUAGUCUUUGAAAGCCAUGCACUGGGUUGAUUGUCCUCUGCAGACUUCAUUGUUCUGAUUGUUUAUAUGGGUGUGAUCUAUCACAGCUCGUGAACAAGGCUCCCAUGAGGGGAGCCUUAUUCUGUGGUUAAUGUUACUCUUCUAAUUUUUAUGAUCUAUCGUAAAGUACUUCUUCCUGAAGCCAACUUGUUUUCUAAGUUGGUUCAAGUCUAGGGGGUCUCUUUAUCAUGUUUUUAACUACAUUUAAAUAUUUUAUGAAAUACUGAAAGUAAGCUGAUGGCUCUGUAAUUCUUUGUCUCCCUUCUGGGGCAUUAAUGUUGGCAUUUUUCCACCUCAAUGGUACAUUGAAGUUUUUCAAAAUGAGUGCAGAGCAAGUUUCUCUAGUGUAAAAUUCCCUCCACAUAAAGUUAUGCCUAAUGGCUUUUCUAACCUCAUCUGUAGUUUCAUAUGGAACUUUGUCUUGUUUCACAUUGCUUCCAUUUGAAGAUGGAUGACUUAUCUGUGAACAUUAUAGUUCUGAGUUGAGAGAGAGAGACAUAACUUUGUGUCCUUGCUGGGGUCAAGGGAGGCGGGGGCCGGGAGACUAGCCCUACCGGAGCCCCCCUUCCUCAAAAGGCAGCCAGACCUUGGGUCUUGGCAGUGUCUUCGGCCAGCCGGACUGCCCAGAGUUGGUCAUCUGGGCACGCGCUGAGCAGCUUUGUUAAAUGAGCUCGGCAAAGUCUUAUUUUCCAUUUCAAGUUUGUCACUUUCAUCAGUUUUUUUUUUUGUAUCUAAUUCAGUCGUGCUUUGAGAAAAAGGAGUUGCUUCUUGCCUUGCUGCCUCAGACAUCAGUCCCGUUACAAUUUUGUUCAUUUCCCUCUGUGGCUGUAUUCUUGCUCUAAAUGAUUGUUUUUCUCAAGGGUAAUUAUGAACAAGUCUCUUUUUAUGACUCAAAUGAUUAGACUUGUUUUUUAGCAGUUCAUUUUGCUUGUGUUCUCUGGUUGAGGGAUAUUCUUGACCUCACUAACCUAUGAUCACUAUGUUUUACAUAGCGUAUCAACUUAGUCCUGUAUUACGUGUGAACCUCUGCAUAAUACAAAACCUUGCACCUUUUGUUUCUCUGUUAUGGCGAUCUACGUCCACUCCCUGUGCUGUCAGGUGGUGUUCAUUAUACGAAGUUGAUUUCGUUAGGCUAAUUGCACUAACUUCUGUUCUGUUUGUAAAACUGAUGCAGCCUCCUGUGGCUGUGGUGUACUGGGUGUGCACCUUAUGCAUUGCUAAUUCAACAUUCUUGUUGAAUCAUUCUACAUCAUAGUCAUCAUGGCUGCACUUUCAAGUGUCCAUUUCCUAUUUCACGUACGAUUUGGUAUAUAAUGUCUAUGUGUGGAAUAGUUCACAUGUAUGUGCAAAAAAAAAAUUAACUGCAAUUGUUGACAAGUAAGCAGCAUCCAACAACCUGCGUAAAUGAUUUCACUUAGUCGUGUUUCAACAAUUAACAUGACUGAGGUAGUGGGUACUUAAUUUGAAGAAUCACAAGAAAAUGUGUAGAUGAGAAGCUGUGCUUUCAUAUUGUGACAUAUACAUUCUGCAUGGUUUGUGCAUUUAAAAACUAUCGAAAAAGGAGCAUUAAAAGCAACAAUCCUUAAGGUCGAGCAACUGUGAUUGUGUGGUUGACAUUCCUAUGUUGUUAUUACUGAAAGAUGGUGGCACCAGACAACUUGAGGAGCCCCCCCAAUUUUUGCACAGAUACGGUAUUUGAAUAAUUGCAUGCUGUUGAUCUGAUGAAUGCAUUCAAAAACAAUGCUAGCUGAAGCAGUGCUGAUGAAAUCGGUAAAAUCAUUUCUGAAUAUUGAUAUUCUAUUUAAGUGAUAUCUUAAAGGAUGCCAGAAAAUGAUUUCAUUAAUGUACAUAAAACAUUCUAGUUGUAUCAUUAGUAUGAAAUGUAGUAUAUAAUUAUAUGCUAUUGAAUCAAGAUCUCUUCAGCAGAGCAGAUGAUUGCAUAGACAUGCCCUUAAUGGUACGUAAAUUUCCAUGGGCGGAUAUUCGAGUAAUCAAGAUGUGGUGGAAAUCAAUACACCGAAAGAUGAAUACUCGUACACUAUGGAAACAAAAUAUUGCGGUACACAUAAAUAUGAAAUGUUGUGGUUGAAGUCGGUACAAUCAAAUAUCGAUGCACUAUUCAACCGAAAUGAUUCACUAUUCAACCGAAAAGAAAUUGAUUUCGUACUAGUAUAUAUGAAGUAGCACGGGUUGUGAUGUGUUUGCAGUAAUAAGAAAUUGCUUUCAUACAGGUACUGGUAUAUAAGAAGUAGCAUGGGUUGAGAUGUGUUUGAAAAAUAAAAAAAAAACUGGUUGAAAUGAUGCGGCGGAAAUGAGUAGCAUGAAAUGUGAAUAAUGAUGCGCUAUGAACAAAAACGUUGCAGUAAUAAGAUACUGAUUUCGUACAGGUAUAUAAAGAAAGUAGCAUGGGUCGAGAUGUGUUUGAAUAAUGAAAAGCUGGUUGAAAUGGUGUGGUUUAAAUGAGUAGAAUGAAAUGUCAAUAGUCAUGCUGUGUUGAACAAAGAUACUCCAGGAAUAAGAAAUUGGUUUCAUAAGAGGUGCAGGUAUAUAAAGAAGUAGCAUGGGUCGUGAUGUGUCUGAAUAAUGAAAAACUGGUUGAAGUGUGUAGAAAGAAUGUGAAUAAUUCGACAUUGAACCAAAAUAUUGCAUUAAUAGGAAAUCGAUUUCAUAGCAGUACUGGUAUUAAAGAAGUAGCAUGGGUCAAGAUGUGUUUGAAUAAUAAACUGGUUGAAAUAAGUAGCAUGAAAUAUGAAUAAUGAUGCGCUGCGCUAUGAAGAAAAACGUUGCAGUAAUAAGGUAUUCUUUCGUAUAGGUAUAUAAAAAAGUAGCAUGGGUUGAGAUGUGUUUGAAGAAUGAAAACCUUGAAAUGACAAUGAAAUGUGAAUAAUAAUGCUCUGCGCUAUGAACAAAAAUAUUGCAGCAGUAAGACAUUUGAUUUCGUACAGGUAUAUAAAGAAGUAGAAUGGGUCGACAUGUGUUUGAAUAAAACUGGUUGCAAUGAGUAGAAUGAAAUGUAAAUAAUGAUACGCUGUUAACAAAAAUAUUGUAGUAAUAAAUUGAUCUGUCCUGGUAUAUAAAGAAGUAGCAUGGGUCUAGAUGUGUUUGAAUAAUGAAAAACUGGUUGAAAUGAGUAAAAUGAAAUGCAAGUAAUGAUGUGCUGUGAACAAAAAUAUUGCAGCUAAAAAAUAAAUUCAUACAGGUACUGGUAUAUAAGGAAGUAGCAUGGGUAGAGAUCUGUUUGAAUAAUGAAAAACUGGUUGAAUUUAGUAGAAUGAUGUGUAGAUAAUGAUGUGCUAGGAACAAAAAUAUUGCAGUAAUAAGAAAUUGCUUUCAUACAGUUACUGGCAGAUAAACAAGUAGCAUAAGUUGAGAUGUGUUUCAAUAAUGAAAAAGUGGUUGAAGUGAGAAUGAAAUGUAAAUAAUGAUGCGCUGUGAACAAAAAUAUUGCAGUAAUAACAAAUUGAUUUCGUACUGGUAUAUAAAGUAGCAUGGGUCGAGAUGUGUUUGAACAAUGAAAGACUGGUUGAAAUGAGUACAAUUAAAUGUGAAUAAUGAUGCGCUAUGAACAAAAAUAUUGCAGUAAUGAGAAAUUGAUUUUGUACUGGUAUAUAAAGUAGCAUGGGUCGUGAUGUUUUUUGAAUAACGAAAAACUGGUUAAAAUAAGUAGAAAGAAAUGUGAAUAGUGGUGCACUAUGAACAAAUAUUGCAGUAAUAAGAAAUUGGUUUCAUACAGGUACUGGUAUAUAAAUUAGCAUGGGUUGUGAUUUUUUUUUUUUAAUGAAAAGCUGGUUGAAAUGGUGCGGUUUAAAUGAGUAGAAUGAAAUGUGAAUAAUGAUGCGGUAUUGAACCAAAAUAUAGCAGGAAUAAGAAAUCGAUUUCAUAAGAGGUGCAGGUAUAUAAAGAAGCAGCAUUGGUUGACGUGUUUGAAAAAUGAAAAACUGGUUGAAAUGAGUAGAAUGAAAUGUGAAUAACGAUGUGCUCAAUUAUUAAACAGAAAUAAUGCUGUAAUAAGAAAUUGAUUUUAUACAGGUACUGGUAUAUAAAGAAGUAGCAUGGGUCGAGAUGUGUUUGAACAAUGAAAAACUGGUUGCAAUGAGAAUGAAAUGUAAAUAAUGAUAUGCUGUGAACAAAAAUAUUGCAGUAAUAAGAAAUUGAUUUCAUCCUGGUAUAUAAGAAGUAGCAUGGGUCUAGAUGUGUGAAUAAUGAAAAACUGGUUGAAAUGAGUAGAAUAUGUAAAUAAUGAUGCGCUAUGAACAAAAAUAUUGCAGUGAAAAGAAAUUCAUUUCAUACAUGUGCUGGCAUAUAAAGAAAAGUAGCAUGGGUCCAGAUGUGUUUGAAUAAUGAAAAACUGAUUGAAAUGAGUAGAAUGAAGUGUGAAUAAUGAUACGCUGCACUAUGAACAAAAAUAUUGCAAUAAUAAGAUAUCGAUUUUGUACAGGUAUAUAAAGAAGUAGUAUGGGUCGACAUGUGUUUGAAUAAUAAAAAACUGGUUGAAACGAGUAGAAUGAAAUGUGAAUAGUAUUGCGCUAUGAACAAAAAUAUAUCAGUAAUAAGAAAUCGAUUUUAUAGCAGUACUGGUAUUGAAGAAGUAGCAUGGGUUGAGAUAUGUUUGAAUAACGGAAAACUGGUUGAAAUGAGUAGCAUGAAAUGUGAAUAAUGAUGCGCUAUGAAAAAAAUAUUGCAGUAAUAAGAUAUUGAUUUCAUACAGUUACUGGUAUAUAAAGAAGUAGCAUGGAUUGAGAUGUGUUUGAAUAAUGAAAAACUAGUUGAAAUGAGUAGAAUGAAAUGUGAAUAGUGGUGCCCUAUGAACAAAAAUAAUGCAAUAAUAAGUAAUUGAUUUGAUACAGGUACUGGUAUAUAAAGAUGCAGCAUGGGUCGUGAUCUGUUUAAAUAAUGAAAAACUGGUUGAAAUCUGUAGAAUGAAAUGUAAACAACAAUGUGCUGUGAACAAAAAUAUUGCAGUAAUAAGAAAUUGGAUUUCGUGCUGGUAUAUAAGGAAGUAGCAUGGGUCGAGAUGUGUUUGAAUAAUGAAAAACUGGUUGAAAUAAGUAGAAUGAUAUAUAAGUAAUGAUGCGCUGUGAACAAAAAUAUUGCAGCAAAAAAAUAAUUUCAUACAGGUACUGGUAUAUAAGGAAGUAGCAUGGGUAGAGAUGUGUUUGAAUAAUGAAAAACUGGUUGAAUUUAGUAGAAUGAAAUGUAAGUAAUGAUGCGCUGUGAACAAAAAUAUUGCACUAAUAACAAAUUGAUUUCGUACUGGUAUAUAAAGAAGUAGCAUGGGUCUAGAUGUGUUUGAAUAAUGAAAAACUGGUUGAAAUGAGUAGAAUGAAAUGUAAGCAAUAAUGCGCUGUGAACAAAAAUAUUGCAGUAAUAAGAAAUUUAUUUCGUCCUGGUAUAUAAGAAGUAGCAUGGGUCGAGAUGUGCUUGAAUAAUGAAAAAAAUUGGUUGAAAUGAGUAGAAUGAAAUGUAAGUAAUGAUGCGCUAUGAACAAAAAUAUUGCAGUAAUAAGAAAUUGCUCUUAUACAGUUACUGGUGUAUAAAGAAAUAGCAUGGGUUGAGAUGCGUUUGAAAAAUAAAAAACUGGUUGAAAUGAAUACAAUAAAAUGUGAAUAAUGAUGUGCUAUGAACAAAAAUAUUGCAGUAAAAAGAAAUUGCUUUCAUACAAGUACUGGUAUAUAAAGAAGUAGCAUGGGCAUACCUGCCAACUCUCCCGAAUUGUCCGGGAGACUCCCGAAUGUACGAAUGUCAUCUCGAAUCUCCCGAAAAGUGGCCACCACAGCAGAGGCAGGGUUUUUUCCUCUUUUCUUUUAAAUCAUGCGCGUACGUCAGCCUUUACAGCUGUGGCGGCGCUGUGGAAGAGCACUCGCCACCACACUUCUAUUUCAUUGUAACCAUAUACUUUAUAUCUACUUUACUUAAUCUACUUUAUAGACAUUUUAUGCUGGUAUACGAAAAGGUCGCAUGGAUUUAGAUGGUAUAUAUAAAAAUAGAAGCUUUUGAAGUGGUGUGAUGAAAAGGAUUUGAAUGAGAUACAAAUACUGAUGUGCCAUGUAACCAAGUUAUAGAAGUAUAGUGAAAAUUGUUUAUAUGGACGUGCUUACGGUGGUAUUCGAAGAACCUCCAUAUGUCGCGACACCGUAACGGCAUGGUUGAAAGGAGUUGCAUGAAAGACGUUUAAUGACACACUAUUGUAUGAGGAUAUCGAAGCAUGUAGGAACCUUAUUUCAUAGGUGUACUUUGGUGUUCAGUGAAGUAGCAUCGCUCGAGAUUGUCUAGACGUAAAGAAAGACUGUUGUUUAAAUGGUAUAUUUGAAAGCUGUCCAAUGAAAUAUGCAUAGCAAUAGUCUAUUGAAUCAAGGUAUCGAGGUAUGAUGGAAGUUCAUAUAGGCACAAUUACAACGGUACACAAAGAAGUGGGAUGAGUUGAGAUGUUAUAUAAGAAAAAAGAAGGUUGAAAUGGUGUGAUCAAAGGGAGUUCAGUGAGAAACAAUGAUGUGUUAUUCAACGAAAUUAUGGAAGCGUGUUGAAAUUUGGUUUUGUAAAUGUGCUUUAUAUAAUGUUUGAAGAAGUAGCAUGGCUACUGAGGGAAAACUGUUCAAGCGGUAUGGUCUGAAAGUGUUGGAUGAAAUAAUAAUAAUGAUACGCUAUUGAACCAUUCUAUCGAAAUAUGGUGGAAGUGGGUUUUAGACAUUUUCGGCCGGUGUACGAAGAUAUCGCAUGGAUUGUGAUGGUAUAUAUAAAAAUGAAAGCUUUUGAAGUGGUGUGAUCAAAAGGAGUUGAAUGAGAUACAAAUAAUAAUAUGCCAAUUAACCAAGUUAUAGAAGAAUAGUGAAAACUUAUUAUACGAACGUACUUACUGUGGUAUUGAAUGAAGCUCCAUUUGUCGUAAUGGUAUAUAAAUAUAUUAAAACGGUGCCCGUAACAGUAUGGUUGAAGGGAGUUGAAUGAAAAACGUGUAACGACACACUAUUGUACAAGGGUAUCGAAGUAUGUUGAAAAUUUAUUUCAUAGGUGUAGUUUGGUUUCAAAACGAAGUAGCAUCGCUCAAGAUGAUCUAAAUGUAAAAAUAGACUUGUUUAAACAGUAUAUUUAAAAGCUGUGAACUUAUAUUUGCAUGGAAACAGUCUAUUGAAUCCAGGUAUCGAGGCAUGAUGGAAUUUGAUAUAGGCGCACUUACAAUAAUACACAAAGUAGCAUGGGUUGAGAUGAUAUAUAUAUCGACAAAAAAUGGUCAAAACAGUGUGAUCAAAAGGAGUUGAAUAAGAUUAAAAUACUGGUGUGCCAUUUAACCAAGAAGUAUAGUGAAAAGUGUUUAUAAGGACGUACUUACAGUGGUAUUCGAAGAAGCUCCAUAUGUCGUGAGGUAUGUACAUAGAGUGAAACGUUGGCCGUAAUGGUAUGGUUGAUAGGAAUUGAAUGAAAAGCGUGUAACGACACACUAUUGUACGAGCAUAUCGAAGCACGUAGGAAAUUUAUUUCAUAGGCGUACUUUGGUGUUCAGUGAAGUAGCAUCGCUCGAGAUGGUCUAGACGUAAAGAAAGACUGUUGCUUAAAUGGUAUAUUUGAAAGCUGUCAAAUGAAAUAUGCAUAGCAAUAGUCUAUUGAAUCAAGGUAUCGAGGCAUGAUGGAAGUUCAUAUAGGUGCAAUUACAACUGUACAUGAAGAAGUUGCAUGGGUUGAGAUGCUAUA
rnacentral:lncRNA from 1 species